UACGGGGAGACCUAAAUCGUGACUCAAUUUGCUCUUUAUAGAGGGAAUACAAGCGUGCUAAGGCUUAGAAAAAGCCACACUCGUCUAUAUCCCAUAUUUAAGGGGACUCUCAAGCAAAUGAACCCUAUAACUAGCAUGAAAUGCAAAAAUCCUAAAAUGGAGGGAAAAGGGGUUCGAGGGGCAUACAAGAUGAUAAAACUAAAAAGAAUGCAUGACAUGUAAUGAACAUGCAAACAUGUACUAACGAGGGGAAAUCCCUAAAGGUCUAGCGUUGGACUAGCCCAUUCUAUGAAUUCCGACUAGCGUUGGACUAGCGGAAACGUACAUUCAUCCAUCACAUUCAUUCAGGCCUAUGGAAAGCAAAUAGACAUGUCGAAUACUUGUAAACACAUAACACAUAACACUUAGUAUGCUUGACUAGAUGCAAAGGCCUAAUAAAGCAAUUAACACAUAGCAAUUAAACUAAUGAACCUAUUACAUUUGCUAGUUAGGCACACGUCUUCAAUAGGUCUUCAUCGAAUGCUCCUCCAAAUCCUAUCUAUUACAAGCCAAGAGGUGUACACAUACCCCAUAAAAGAAUAACUUAAUUAAAAGCAAAAAUAAAAUGAAAUAAAUGAAAGAGAUUAAGGAAAAGUAAGGGAAGCAAAUAGACAUGCAAUUUUCACGUAGCACGUUGGAUCACAUAAGAGAGACAAAAAGGGAUAAAAGAAAUUAUACCUCCCUUGAGUUGGAGCUCUAAUGGGGUGAAGUCCCUUAUUUAUCCUCCAAAAUAAAAGAAAUGGUCAAGGUGCCAAUUUAUUUGGCAAAUAAUCACAAAGGAUAAAAAAUAAACAUGAAUUUGAAUCAAUUAAAUCAUGUCAACAACCCACAUUUAAGAAGUCAAAAGAAGAAAGGACUUGAUUGCAAAAAUUAAUAAAGCCUUGGGGUCAAAAUUAAAGAAAAAUAAAGUUUAGGGGCCUAUUUGCAAUUAAAUUAAGGACCGAAUUGAAAGAGGUUGAAAAAAUCCAGGGCCACAGCAAUUAAGGAGAAAUUCAGGGACUGAUUUGCAAAAACGUUUUCUGGUUUCCUAAUGGACCAAAACAUUGGGCCAUUUCCUUUAUUUGUUUGGGCCAAAAGCUUCCCAGCCAAUGGAAAUCCAGAACAAAAAAAGAAUGGGCCAUUUUAUUUGUUCGUUUGGGCCAAAACCUUCCUGGCCCAACCGAUAAUUCUAAGAGGAAAGCAGGCCAGCCUAUCUUUAAGCCCAGACAAAGUGCAACUAGAACAGAUGGGCUUCACCUCUCAAGCCCAAACCAGAAACCCAAACAAAACAAAUUAAAUCCAUACUUACAAACCCAAUCAGAUAUGUUGGGCUCCAUCUUCCUAAGCCUAAGUCAAAACAUCAACAUAAUAAACUAAAUCACUUCCUUAAGCCCAAACAAAAUAACCUCUCAACCCAAAUUACCUUUUCACAGGUACCCAACAUGAUAAAAUCAACAAAAAUUACUAAGCUUUGAUUAUGCAUUAAAUCACAGCAUUAAUCUAUCCAGAAAUCACAUAAAAUAUGCAAACAGAGGAUUAAGCUUAAGAGGGCAAAAUUAGUUCAAUUUUCCAGAUUUUUGGGCCAUACCAGAAUAAGGAGGGAAUAUCAAAGGGUUCAAACACAACAAAAUAGGGACUUAAUUGGAGGAAUCAUGAAGAUUUUGGGGUCGAAAUUAAAGAAAAAAAACAUUCCGGGGUCAAUUUACAAGUUCCAGAUUUUUUUUCUUUUGCAAACCAAUGGUUCGCUGAAUCUAUCCUCUUCAAUUGUGACUGAAGGUAAGCUUCUGCAACCUCAGAUUCGGCCAUUUUGCUCUAACUAUCAACUAUCAUGUUUUAACAAGCAUUAAACUGGCCGGAUGUUAUGCAAAAAACAGAAAUCAAUUCAUUCUUGGAACUGGAGUUUCGGUUGGCCAUUUCAACGAGCAGAUUAGGAGCAUUAAAAGUUUCAUCAAUUUUUUGCUGGAAUUGAAGUUAAUCAAUCUCCAAAAUUGUUCAACAAUCAAGAAAUUUCAGCCCAAUCAUCAGUAAAACGUGCAUAAUCGCGAGAUUUGCAAAUAAAGCUUAGGGCGGCUAAGAACGAACGAAUUCAGAAAAAUAAGCAACCAGAGUUUCAAGAAUCCGAAAACUGAAUUCAGAUAAUUAAGGAAGAAACGGAAAACUUACAGUGCUAAUCCCACGUGAGCUUCAAUGAUGGUAGACUCCUUGCGAGUGCGGCAGUUCGAUGGCGGGACAGUGCCGGUACCAAUGGCUUCAACGAUUGCUGGCUCCGCUCGCUCCAGCCGUCGAACUUGUGGCCCAGCUCCCGUGUCGAUUGGAAGAUCCUGGCAGCACGAGCGGCAGGCGUGCAGAUUUUUCUGCCGUGCCCCUCCAUCUUGGUGUCGCGGUCCAUGGAGGAGAGUAGCCCGACCCGGAUGUUCUGUUCCGGGUUAAGAUGUUAUACGGAAUCCACGCUGCCUCUGAGGUUUCGUUAUGGGAAUUAGGGAGAGGGACAGUGAAUCGGGCGCAAGGAGGAGAUGAUACGGUGAGGCCGAAAAAGGGUGGCUGAGGUGCGCUGGACGGCUACUGAUUUGGAGACCAGGCCUUCCUUCCCUUGUUUCUUUGCUGCCCCUUUUUCAACCUUGCCGAAGCAAUUUUCUUCCUCCUCCCUUGGCCAAGCUCUCUGUUUCCUAGCUCUGUCCGCCGCCCCUUAUUCUCUCAAAACCCUCCAGCCCAAGACUUUCUCUCUCUCCCCAGCCAAAUGAAGCUCCCUUGUUUUUUCUUUGUUUUCUGAUUUUUUUCCCGUCACCUCUGUUCCUUAGCCGAAGACUUUUUCUCUGUUUCUUCUUUAGCUUCUUCCUAGCCCUCCUCCUAUUUUUGCUCUUCAUCUGCAAAACCCCCUCAGCCCCCUUUCUCCCUCUGCCUUUUUCUUCUUCGCCGAAGCUUUUCUAUUUUCUUGCUCUCAGUUCUGACUCUCAGCCGCCAAGCUUCCCCCGUUUUCCAGUUUUCUUUUUUCCUUUUUUGUUGUCCGGCCAAGCUUCUCCUCAGACGAAACCCUUUUCUGUUUUUUUUUUUUUUUUUUAGCCCUCACAAAAUUCUACUUUGACCCCAAAAAUUUCUUAACUUCCCAAAUGUCCCUAACACCUCACCCCUUAGGUGCUUAGUUGUCUAAAAAUAGAAAAGACACUUGUCCAAGUGCAUGUAGUCCCACUUGUCAUUUUCACCUUUUUUUCUUUUUCCUUUUCUCUUUUUCUUUUGUUUUUUUCCUGAAAUUUAAUGUGAAGCCAAAAAUAGCUAGAACAAAAACAAAAUAAAUAACAAUAAUAAAAAUAAAAUAAUAAAAUAAUAAUAAAUAAUAAUAAUAAAUGAAAACUCUAAAAUUGAAACAAAUAAAGUUAAGAUUAAAUUAAUUAAACAAAUAAAGUUAAAAAAUCAAAAAUUUGGUGUCUACAGUUUGCCCCUCUUUGUCUGAGUUUUGAAAAAAUUUGAGACAAAGAAGUAGACACCAAAUACUUACCUGUGUUAUUUGGCGGUGAAAACGUCUCAAACAAAUGGACGCUUUAGAAACGGGGACUGACUCCUUUAUCAAACUGUGAAAUGGGACUGACCCAGACAAGAAAAUUAAACAGAAAAUUUAAUCGGGACUGACCCGAGACAGGAAAUUUAAAAUCGGGACUGACCCGAGACAGGAAUUUUAAAACGAGACUGGCCCGAACAUGAAUUUAAAACGGGACUGGCCCGAACAGGAAUUUAAAACGGGACUGACCCGGAAAGGAAUUUAAACGGGACUGACCCGAACAGAAUUUAAACGGGACUGACCCGAACAGGAAUUUAAACGGGACUGACCCGAACAGAAUAUUUAAAACGGGACUGACCCGAACAGGAAUUUAAACGGGACUGACCCGAACAGAAAUUUAAAACGGGAUAGACCCACGCGAUAGACCCGAAACGAAAUGUAAAUGGGAUAGACCCAAACAGAAAUGUAAAUGGGAUGAAUUGAAGUGAGAUGGAGUAUUGGUGGGGUUGACCCAUGUUUAUUGGUGAUGCAAAUGAAAGAAGAGAAAUGAAGUGUUAAUGGGACUGAUCCACGUUCCAGUGGCUGUGAAAAUGAAAUGUUCACUGGCGGACUGACCCACGUUCCAAUGGCUAUGAUCAUGAAAUGCUCACUGGCGGGACAAACCUCAGCUCCAGUGGCUAUGAAAAUGAAAAGCUCACUGGUUGGACAAACCACACGCUCCAGUGGCUAUGAAAAUGAAUGCUCAUUGGCGGGACAAACCUCAGCUCCAGUGGCUAUGAAAAUGAAAAGCUCACUGGCGGGACAAACCUCAGCUCCAGUGGCUAUGAUCAUGAAAUGCUCACUGGCGGGACAAACCCAACUCCAAUAGCGAUGAAAAUAAAAUGCUUACUGGCGGGACAAACCCAGCUCCAAUAGCGAUAAAAUGCUUUUGACAAUUGGACAGUGGGACAAAACCCGAGCCUGCCGAGGUCGGAGGGAUAAAACCCAUGCCCUAAUGAAAAUAAAAGCGGUCAGUGGGAUAAAACCCGAGCCUGCGAGGUCGGAGGGAUAAAACCCGUGCCCUAACGAAAAUAAAAGCGGUCAGUGGGAUAAAACCCGAGCCUGCCGAGGUCGGAGGGAUAAAACCCGUGCCCCAACGAAAAUAAAAGCGGUCAGUGGGAUAGAACCCGAGACUGCCGAGGUCGGAGGGAUAAAACCCGUGCCCAACGAAAAUAAAAGCGGUCAGUGGGAUAAAACCCGAGCCUGCCGAAGUCGGAGGGAUAAAAUCCAUGCCCUAUCGGAAAUAAAAGCGGUCAGUGGAAUAGAACCCGAGCCUGCCGAGGUCGGAGGGAUAAAACCCAUGCCCAACGAAAAUAAAAGCGGUCAGUGGGAUAGAACCCGAGCCUGCCGAGGUCGGAGGGAUAAAACCCGUGCCCAACGAAAAUAAAAGCGGUUAGUGGGAUAAAACCCGAGCCUGCCGAAGUCGGAGGGAUAAAACCCGUGCCCAACGAAAGUAAAAGCGGUCAGUGGGAUAAAACCCAAACCUGCCCAAUGGGAAGUCGGCGGCACGAAGUCCAGGCCCAACGUGAUCUUAUGAAGUUGACGGCACUUGGGCGAUCUUGUGAAGUUGGCGGCACGAAGUCCAGGCCCAACGUGAUUUUGUGAAGUUGGCGGCACAAAAUCCAGGCCCAACUUGAUCUUUGGAAUGUUGGCGGCACGAAACUCAGGCCCAACUUGUUUUUUGGAAUGUUAGCGACCCGAAACUUAGGCCCAACUUGAUUUUUGGAAUGUUGGCGGCACAAAAUCCAGGCCCAACGUGAUCUUUGGAAUGUUGGCGGCACAAAGCUCAGGCCCAACUUGAUGUUUGAGAUGUUGGCGGCACGAAAUCCAAGACCAACUUGAUGUUUAUGAUGUCAAGAGAAGGGGGGAACAGAAUGAUGCGCGGCGUGCAUUGAAGUUUCGCCCAUAAGAAAUCAAAUUUGAUUUUUCAAGAAACAAGAAUUUGAACUUGAUUUUUGACUUUUGAACUUUGAAUUUUUCUGAUUUUUUUUUUGAGAGAAUUUUUCAAAAAUAAUUUGCCCCAAGUGUAGGGCCCUUUUCCCUUCUUUCUUCUCUUUCUUCGGCAUCGGCUUCCCACAUCACCAGAUGCUUUUUCGUCAUUUUGAACCAUGAAUACCUGUACAAGGGGUUCAUCAAAGUAUGACAUGCAUUCAAAUUUCUUAUUUGGAAAGAACAGCGUGAUUGGUUUGACAUCCUCAAAUGUAUUACAAAAAUUUUGCCCCAGUGUGGGCUAUUUUGCAAAAUCUCUCACAUGAAAAUUUGCCCCAGUGUAGGCCUAUUUAAUUGCAAAAAAAUUUGUUUGAAUAACCCUCCAUUUAUUUGAACAAAGUAAACAAUUGCUUUUCCUAACAUAUCAUGUGAAGAAAUUUGAAUGUCCUGCUUAAACUCAUAUAGCACAUUUCAUGAUGAAUUUCUCAAAAUAAUGCCAAAUUACGAAAGAUUUCUUCCCCACUUUAGCAUCAAUGCUUUGGGUGAUGGGUCACCAUUUCUGGUUGGUUCAUCUUUCAGGACCAAUCAAGUGACUUUAUUUUUGAAAUGGCUAUGGAAAUGGGAGAUCAGAAUUUGUCUGGUUCUUGUGCCCAAAAUUGUAAUGCAUUCAACAUCACAUCUUAGUGAAAGCAAAUAGUUUGUCCAUUCUUAUUUUCAAGAAAACUUAGUCAACAUACAAGCUUUCUAGGCUUGUAACGUAUGGACAGAAGUGAUAGCUAAACAUGUGGAAACGGGUUAUACCCUUAUGAUCACAAAUGAUUUGAUGAAUUUCUUAUGAGCAUGAUCCUCACUUUGAAUUGUCAUGAAGGAAUAAGUCAACGAUGGACUUUAUUAGCUUGUAAUGUGGCUUGAAAAUGAUAGUUAAAGAAUAAGAUUUUCAAGGAUAUUGCACCAUAGAUCGCCUUUUUCCAAAAUUGUCCCUAUUUUGAACUCAAAAGAUUUCAGACUUUGUUUGGAUUUUCUCAUCAUUCCCAAAGACUUCAACGUCGAACUUUUCUGCAUUUACUUUUCUCGCUUUACUUUUUGCCUCUUUUUCCUUUCCCUCGAUUUGGUGGGUUUUCACAUGGUGAGUAGCGUCAACCUCAUACCCAAGCAAUUCAGAAAUACAGCUAAAAUUUUUCGGCAUCAGAAAUUUUCUUGACAGGGCCAUUGCAAAGAACAGAAGUCAGGACUUUCGGCUUUUGUAAUGGGGUCUGGUGGGGUGUCUAGAAAAUUUAAGGCUUGAAGGCAGAUUUCAAAGGUGGUUUGGAGAAUCUGAGAUCGCAUUGUUGUGCCAACCCUAUUUUAGGGUUAAAUCAGAAUUUGCCAGAGCUUGUGCUCAAUUGAGGUUUUUUCUCUUUCAUUUUCUUUCGAUUCUUUUGGCCUUUUGCCAUUUUUUUUUUUUGAACUUUCACAAAAUUUGCCCCAAUUUAUUUUUGAACUGAGGUUCUCUUUUCUUCUUUUGUCCUUUGAUUUUGUUACAUUAUCGCUUUUCACUUCUUGAAACUUUUUCCAACUCAAACUUGCCCCAGUGUGGGGUUUGCGAUUCUCAGGGGUUGUCAAACGAAAUAUUUUAUUCUGAAAGCUCAAAAGGGACAACUAGGGAUAGAAUGCUUGAUUGGAAAAGAAGAGGGCCUGACUUUUAAUCCGUUCCUUACAAUAACUCUGAAAGGAAACUUUCGUUAAUGCGAAAUUUUUGCAUGUAUCUGAAUUAAUUGACUGAGGAAGACUCUCCAUAAGGGGUUCGUCGGGCAAAACCCUUCCUUUUUCUUUUUUCAAAAUUGAAGCCCAGAUAGAUUCAAAUUUUUCCAAUUUGUGAUUCCCUCUUUUCUUUUAAUCUUUAGCAUUUUUUUUUUUUGGAAAAAUCUCCAAUCUCCUUCCCCAAUGUGGGGUGCGAUCAUAAGUGCUUUGAAAAGAACCACCCAUUUUGGCUCAAAUAAGGAUGCAAGGGAUAAAUGAUGUUUAGAUUGUAGAAACGAUGGCCAAAGUAUCAUUCUUACACCUAAUGACAACCAAAGUAACGAAAUGGUCAUUGAAAAUCCAUUUCCCUUUUUGAUAUUUGGAAAUUUUCCAACGAAGGGUAGUGAUUAUUGUGAGAACCCGUAAAACCCUAAUUAUUUUCCUAGGGUUUAUUACCCCUUAAUUGCAUAUAUUUUUGCAUUUUCGGGUUUAGAAAUAUUUUCUGGUAGAUUUUAUGCGUAAUUAUAGUUUUAAGAUGAUUUUUCUAGUAUUGGAGAGUUUUUAGAAAAUUAAGAGUAAAUAGUGGACGUGGGACCCACUAGUGCGAAAAGUUCAAAAAAAUUCGGCCAACUAGAUUAAGUUUUGGAUACUGGAAUUAUUUUAUCGGGUGUUAAGAGAUAAGUAGAGGAUGUUAUUUGGAUUGGUAUGAGGGGGAAACAAAGAGAUAGAGAUUCAUUUAUGAAGUGACAAGUGUCACCAUUUGAUUGGUUGGAUACUAUUCACUUUUUGACUUUUUUUUUUACCAAGUGAUUAAAUAUCUUAAAAUUUCACAAAAAUCACCAUUUCUUCUCUCUCUCAUGGCCGAACCUCUUGCAAGGAAAAGGAAGAAAACUUCUCCAAGUUUCAAGCUUCAAACUAGCUCAAAUCUUCCAAGAAAAUUACUUAAACUAGUUUCUACUCCAUAAAUUCCCUCUAGUUGGUGCUAGUAAGUGAUUUGGUGAGAUUUUUUGGAGAAGCUAAGGUGUCCUACAACUCUCCCUCUCUUGUUUACUAGGUAAGUAGUGGUUCAACUUCCUCAUAUACUUCAUGAAGCUUAAGUUAUGCUUAGUAGUGGCUAAAGUGUUUAGAUUUGUGAUUUAUUUCUUGUUCUUGGAGAAAUUGAUGGAGUUUUCAAUUUUUUGGGAUUAUUGCUGUUUUCAUAUGAUCAUGAUGGUGUGAUGACUUAUGAUGAUUGGAAAUAAGGGGUAAUGGCUCUAGUAGGUGCAUAUGAUAGAAAAUUGCAAUCAAUUUUGGAUUUGGAAGAAUUUCUGGAAAAUUAGGGUUCUUGGUUGAACAUUCUGUCCGAAAUUUUUGGUCAUAGAUAGAGGCCGAAUUGGACUUUGCUCAAAACAUUAAAGUUGUAGGUAUUGAUGAGUUUGAAGUGCCUGCAAAAUUUCAGGGCAUUUGGAGUAGUGUAGAGUGAGAUAUGUCGAUUUUACUGUUGCUGUUCUGGGUUGAUCAGAAUGCGAAAACUGCACUGGUAAUUGGCCAUUUUGACUGGAAUUGCUUUGGAUUUGGAUGUUAGUGUCUUCUGAUGAAAUGUAGCUGGAUGUCUUAGCUUCCAUAUGCCUUUGGAAUCAAUGCAUUUGGACCUGUACAGACCGAGUUAUACCAAUUACAGCAUAUUGGGAUUUGUGAACCUGUUUUAGUGGUUCUGGUUUGGUAUUUUUGGCAUAUUUGACCUAGUUGUGCUAGGAUUUGGAUUGAGUGGCCUUCUAUAUUGUUGUAGCCCUGUUUCAUAGCUUCGAAACGGUGGGUCUUACACCCCCAUCCGAUAAUCAUAGUGAAAUUGACACCAUUACCGCAAAAUGACGUCAAAACUGUAUUUUUCCGGGCCAAUGCUAGUUACAUUUCCGAAAUUUCUGGUUUCCUCUAUUGUUUGUAAAUGUUUAUGGAACCUUAUUGGGUCAUGUUUGGCCUUGGUUUAUGACUCGUUAUCGAGUCUCAUUGUAUUUGUUGCAUGUUUUUAGGGCGUGACGGUGGUGCACAACGUUCUUUUGACUAAAGUGUUUGAAACCACAUUGUGCUAGCUUGGUGAGUGUACUACUCACUUAUGUGCUAUUACAUGGCUUUGAUCUUGGUACUUGAGAUGUUGAAUGUUGAUUGAUCCAAGUGAGAGUGUACUUUAUCACUUUUACUUAUUGUUUCGCAUGUUAUUGGAAAGUUAUAUGAAAUGUUAUAUGAAAUGAAAUACCUGACUUCAAAUAUUAUCCAUGAGCUCAACCCAUUGGUUAUUGAUUGAAUCGAGCCGGCGAGGGCUUGGUCGUGCCAAUUAAUGUGCCUUGGGGCAACAUCAUAGGGAAUCUUGUAGUAUGAGAGACUCUUGAUUCCGGUUUACUCGAGUAAUACCACAAUGCAUGCGUUUGGAUUUCGGGCCCGGUUGAGGAAUGUUAGGAGGAAGGGAAUGGAAGUUAAGAGGAGUCUACGGUUGGUUACCUUUCAGACAUUGACGGAGAGUCAAUGAGACCUGAUCAAGAAUUCAAACGAGGAAAAAGGGCUCUUGAGAGCCACCCGUAUCCUUUAUCCUCAUUAUUAAUGUGUGGCUUUAUUUAUUUUGGUAAAUUGGACUGUUAAACUUGAUGUAUUCAUGAACUUGGUUGCUUGAGUUGUAUUCUCACUGGGCAAUUAGCUCACCCGUUCCUUUUGUUUUCCUUACAGGAAUAUGACUCUUUUGGAAUGAAUUUUGAUAAAUGGUUGCCGAAUGAACUAGAUGAAUGACUCUUUUGUAUUGUAUAUAAAAUGGGACCCUAAAUGUAUCAUUAGGGCCGUUUUCACUUUUGUUUUGGCAAACCAUAUAUGUAGUGACUUUUGUAUCACUUUUAAAUGUCAUUUUUGGUUUGUAAAGGCUAAAUGUUAUGUGGUAUAUGUAAUUCGAUGUUUGGUUGGGUUCGGACGAGUCGGUUACUAUUCAUGGCCGACUCCGGAUUUCAUUUUCUUUUAUUUUGGGUUAUUUUGCCUUUUGCCUUAUUUGCGCUCGUUAUAAGUUCCGGAACGUGAAAGAUCGCUCUAUACUGCACCGUUAGUCCUGGCGAGAGAUGGGCAGGCAGUCCGCUAACCCCUUUGGUUCGCCUUAGGGGAAAGUGGGGCUGUCACAAUUAUUAGGGCUCUUAUUUGAAACGAAAUUACUCUUUCAAAAGCUCAAAUGGGAGAACAAAUGAUAAAAUCUGUAUAGGUAGAGAAACGAACACUUGAAGUAUCAUUCCAAAUUUUCAAAACAAAUAAGAAUAAUGCAUCUUUUUGCUUUCACUGAGAUGUGGACUGAAUCUAAUUAGACACAGUGGACACUUUUCACGCGAAGAUUGCCCCAAUUUGCAAAUUAUCAAUCAAUGUGACUGAUUUUAUUUUGGGGUUGAAUGAAAUGGGCAAACUAUGAAUUGUACAGUGAAUUGUACAGUGAAGGAGAAAAUGUAUCUCAUGAGGCCUUUGGAGUGACCAUUCACCUUUUUCUGAGCACUCUUAUUGUAUAGCUCGGAUCACCAACCUAGUGUACAUGAGGAUUUUAGAGAGUAUACACUUGUGAAAUUCUGACUAUAGGUUGAAAAAAUCUCAAUUUGGUCUUAUUUCUCAAAAUUCAUCAUGAAAUCUCCAAUGAAUAAGAAUAAAGAAUGAAAGGUACAUAAAUAUACCCAAAACAAUGAUUGUCCAAAAAUUUUUAUUGCUGAAAAAGUUUGAAACAAAAAUUCUCGUUCAAUUAUGAUACAAAUGAGAAGAGAGAAACUUGUAAAGAGCUCCACAUAUACACUUUUUGUUUCCUUUUCUUUUUGGAACAAAAUGUAUUAACAAAUCAAAUGUACAAAAUUUUCCUUUGGAAAACAAUUAUAACAUCUCUCAGAGGCUUUAACGUAGAGCUUCCAGAUAAAUCAUUUAUGUUUUCAUUGUAGGAUCUGCCCAAGAAUCAAAUAACACUUGCAGUUUUGACACUUGCAGGAUCGGAAGUGCCAUCAGAUAUAGAAAAAUAUUUCCCUUUUAUUGAAGUGUUUUUAUGAAUGCAAGGGAGGGGGAAAAACAAAAGAAAAAUACCCUGAAUUAGUAAGAAAGAAUAUAAAAUCGGUAUGCAUGUCUAUGGGGGGACCCUUUUGUGCAAGGGUAGGCCUAGCAUGAAAAUGCAAUCCUCUGAGGUAGGCACUAUACCAUACCUGAUGGAUCCGAUAAACUCAUCGAGUGAAAAAUAAUUUUGAAAAAUUUGGCCAAUUGGAUUGACGAGAGACACUUGUCAAAUGAGGUCAACAUCCGAAUGGAUUGAUCAUUUGAUUGAUACAAGAAUUUGCAAAAACGCAUGGGUUUUGACCUUGACGAACUUUCCUAUCGAAGAGAUUGAAAUUCGUUUUGACAACUUUUCUCAGUGAAGCACGGGUCAAAACUCCAACUGAUCAAAUGGCUGGAUGCAAUGGAUGUUUUCUCAAAAUCACUAGGUUUUCCAUUUUGAAAUUGACAUUGAAAUCCUAAUUGGUCAAGAUGAAAUUGACAAUUUAUUAAAAAUCGCCGGAUGACCCUAAAAAAGGGUAAAUGUGGUCAAAUGACCCUAAAAAGGGUAAAUUGUCAAAUGAAUUGACGAUUUAUUCAAAAUCGAUCGGCGAUGACCCUAAAAAGGGUAAAUUGGUCAAAUGAAUUGACGAUUUAUUCAAAAUCGACCGGAUGACCCUAAAAAGGGUAAAUUGGUCAAAUGACCCUAAAAAGGGUAAAUUGGUCAAAUGAAUUGACGAUUUAUUCAAAAUCGACUGGAUGACCCUAAAAAGGGUAAAUUGGUCAAAUGAUGGUUUAUUCAAAAUUGAUUAUGAAUUGACAAAAUGGAUCGAUUGAAUCGGCCGGCCAUUGGUGGUUUCAGAAAAUUAGUCUAUGAGCCUUCAAAAAUCACGAUUUGGCCUCAAUUUAUUCAUCGUCUCAACAAGAGGAAUCAUUUGUGAAUUUCUUCAAAUUAAUGUCCUUUGCGCAAGGGAUUUUUACCAAUUUUGAUAAAAUGGCCAAAAAGUGAUUAUUAGAUGCUCAUAUUCCAAAGAUCACUCUAUGAAAAUGAUCGGAUCCUACCUUACCUUGUGCACUACCCCUUUGGAUGGUACAAAAUGUAAACGUGCAAGUCUCUUUGGAUUAAGUAUCCGAGACAUAAGGUGGUUUAUUCCUGACACGAGAUCCCCUAAAUGGCAUUCCCUUUCUAGGGUUGAUGCAUGAUGCCAUUUAUUAAAGCAAGAAAAUAUGCAAUUCGAAACGAAACGUGACCUAAGGAACCCUUUAUAUGCCAAGGUAGGCCUAAAAUGGUAUGACAUUAUGAAUUAUGAACAAAAUGCAUCACAAUUUUCAAACGUGCGAUAGCCUAUUUACAAGGGUAGGUCCUAAAAGAGGAUCAUGCCAGACCUCUUAUUUCCUAACAUUUGUGAAUGCAAAAGAUAAGAAACAAGGAAACGUUAGUUCAACACAUAAUCACAUAACAUGUUGGACAAUUAGAUGAUACAAAAGCAACAAAGAAAUAAGGAAAGAGGGUGGGAUCCCUCCCCUCGUGCAUGGUGUCCCUAAUAGGGUAAGGUUGACUCUACCCUAGGCAAUUCUAAAAUGGAUGCGUGAGGUUGGGGUUCACUAAUGCAUCUAGACUCGACAAGCUCAGGUCCCCAAACCUUCAGACUUGGAAACCAAGGGUCAUCACUCCAAGGUUCCUUGUCGGUGGCUCGAGCGAUUCCCCAGACGUUGCUACGCACACGUCGUGUUACGGCUACUACCGUCUGGGCGAAUCUAAAAAAAAUCCUCAACCUUCGACUAAAAACUAAUAGGUCAUCAACCUACAGUUUAAAGCGGAAGAUCGAGUGACCCCUUGGAUCAUGCUACGCACACGUCGUGAUACGAUCACAUGUCCAAGUGGUCGCCUAAAAUCCUAAUAGGGUGGAGUGGCGUGACAAGCCACUAAAAGAAAAAUAAAUGAAGGGUGAAAAAAAAUUAAAGCGUAUGCUCGUAUGCUAGUGCUCGUUUGGAGGGGAGGGAUCAAGAACCAACGUGAGGCUCUAAGGUGACACACACCCCCCCAAAUGCAAUGCGACCGCGAGAUAAGUAAGUAAACAUCCAAUCAACCAAUCAUACAUUCGUGAGCGAGGGAGUAGUUGGACACGCGUGAAAUGCAAAAUCCUAAAAAAGAAAAAAAUGCAACCCUAAAACACCAAAAUGUGAUAUAUGAAAAGGUUAAAAGAAGAAAAAAGUUGAUUAAAUCAAAUUUGCUCGGACUCUCGAAUGUCCCCAGUGGAGUCGCCAACUGUCGCGCCCCAUUUUUUUUUUUUGAUAAAAUAAAUAAAUGGUUUAAAAAAUGUAUUUUUUGAUUCAAUUUGUGGUUGGAAAAUGAAUUUUGAUUUAAAAGAAAAGUGGGCCUCAAUGGGGUUUUGAGAAUGCGACGAUUUGACCCAAAAUUAUAGUUUUGAAAAGGGUUUUUUGAAAUAAAAAUCGGAGUCGCCACUUGGUAAUGAGUUAAGGUGUACCAAGUCACCUAAAAAUGAAUUUUUAAAGAAAAAUAGGAAAAAGUAGUAAGAAACCCUUUUAAACGACUCUUAGUCCACGUAAACCAAAGAAAAAGGUUCGGGAGUCACAUUUGACGAAGGGAAGGCAAGGAUAAAAAUCCAAGGCACCCCUUCGACCUAGCCAAGGCUAGUUGCAUGAUUUAAUCAAAGAUUUUCUUGUUUUAACCAAAGAAUUUAUUACAUUUGGAUGCACUACAUGAAUGCAAACCCUAAACCUAGGGUAUUGAGGGAAAUUUCUCUUCAAAGGUUAAGUGGUGCCAAUCACAUUAAUUGUGAAGCCCAAUAACGAUCCUUUGAGAAGUCACGAAUAAGGCAAGUGGGAUGCAAAGGAAUGGAAUGCAUGUAUGCAAUGUGAAGGCAUGAGUUUGAAAAAAUAAUAAAAGACAAUAAUGUGUAAAUGAAAAUGUGCACGUGAGUGGGCAAGGUACGGUAUGAAAUGAUAAUAUGAAGUGCAUGUGUGCAAGUGAUAAUAAAAGUGUUCGUGUGCAAGUGAAGAAACAUAAAGUGCAUGUGUGCAAAAUGGGAGGAAAAAUGAAAGUGUGAUGAGGGUAUAAAAUGGUAGAGUGGAUUUAAAAAUGCAUGAGCCUAGGGAAUUCAUGCAUAUUGGGUACGGGGAGACCUAAAUCGUGACUCAAUUUGCCCUUUUAUAGAGGGAAUACAAGCGUGCUAAGGCUUAGAAAAAGCCACACUCGUCUAUAUCCCAUAUUUAAGGGGACUCUCAAGCAAAUGAACCCUAUAACUAGCAUGAAAUGCAAAAAUCCUAAAAUGGAGGGAAAAGGGGUUCGAGGGGCAUGCAAAAUGAUAAAACUAAAAAGAAUGCAUGACAUGUAAUGAACAUGCAAACAUGUACUAACGAGGGAAAUCCCUAAGGGUCUAGCGUUGGACUAGCCCAUUCUAUGAAUUCCGACUAGCGUUGGACUAGUGGAAACGUACAUUCAUCCAUCACAUUCAUUCAGGCUAUGGAAAGCGAGUAGACAUGCCAAACACUUUAAACACAUAGCACAUAACAUUUAGCAUGCUCGACUAGAUGCAAGGCCCUAAUAAAGCAAUUAACACAUAGCAAUUAAGCUAAUGAACCUAUUACAUUUGCUAGCUAGGCACACGUCUUCAAUAGGUCUUCAUGAAUGCUCCUCCAAGCCCUAUCUAUUACAAGCCAAGAG
rnacentral:lncRNA from 1 species